UGUGGCUUAGAAUAAUAUUGAAUGUUUCGUGACUUGUAAGAAAUUCAAGAGCCACUGGCAUAGUGGUUCUCUCAACUCAUUUUAGUUUAAUUUAUGGUCUAUUCUUCGCAGGUUUUAAACAUGACCACCGCCUAGAUCUUGAAGUACGGCGUCACAGAUGACGAGACGGUGGACAAACUGCAGCAGAGAAUUGCAGACGAAACCAGCAUCCCUGCAGCCCAGCAGGAGUUGCUCCUGGAGGCCGGCUCAGCUUUGGAGCCUCUCGGGCCGGCCACGCAUUGCGCCAUCGAUUACACCGUAACUCAUAUCGAAUCGUUCUCGCAUAAAAAAUGUCAAUGGCACAUCAUGUCUCAAAUCUCAUACUAUGUGGAGGAGCUAGAUGGGCGGCGGACAGACUUCCCUCUCGUUUUCCUGUUUGAUCGCUCAUCUUGUAGUUACGAACCACCGUUGACUCCUCGCGUCCUCCCUAAAAAUGUCAGUUUUAUCCAUGAGUCUUCCUCCUCCUUUUGUUGGAAUUAAAAUGUAUUUUAUUCUUAGUGUGUGCCAUAGAAUAGUGUAACUAUUUAAACAUUCUUAGUGUAGCUGCCAUAAGAAAAUGCACUGAUAUGGAACGUUUGAGCCAGGCUCUGUUUCCAAGUGGGAACCAAUUUUAGUUUUUGUGUUAGCGGUUCCUUUUUGAGAGUUACACAAGGGCGAGUGUCUGAUUUUGAGCCACGGCGUGGCAACGUUUUCCGUUUGCAAAAGCAAGUGAUGAAGAAUGCAAGGAAUGCUUCUUUUGUUUCUUUUCUGAUAACAUUUUUGUUUAUUGGUUAAACCAGAGUUUUGAAGAUCUGUAUUGUCAAGAUUUACGUUUUUUUUCGUUUUCUCCCUCGAGCAAAUGCGGCAAUGAGUUCUCACGGCAUGUGUGUGGAGAAGGAGUUGAAUAAAUGCCCGUUUUGAAGAACUGCUUGUACACCUGAUUGACAAGAGGGAGCUACAGUGAGAACUCAGCCAGCCCGGCGCCAGAACAAGACGUUGUUCGGCAGAGCUACAAGCAAGUCACUUCACUCACCUCUUCCAUCGGACAGAUAAGAGACUGUACAUUCACCUGCCUACACAAGUAGCUACCUGAGUCCAGAGAGCUUUGGGUGCCAGUCAACAAUAAGUAAAACAUUUGAACAAGUUAAAUGUUUAAAGGUGGACUAGCCUCAAUUGCUGUAAAGGGACCUACAAGUGCUAAAUUGUGCAAUGUUAUGGUGAUGUGUGCAUGUUGUAAGGUUUAAGUGCUUGCUUAUUUGCACCUAGUAAUGUCUGAUUGAGGUGUGAACGACCAUUCAUAGCAUUUGAAAACAAGUUCAUUUGCAAACAUUUAAAGGUGUAGAACAACAUUUAAGUGAUUAAGUCAUUGCAAUGAAAAUUAAGUUUAUUGUACAUUUAGUCAAUAUAUUAGACAGGUUGGUUGAUAAAGUAAAUUACAGGAGUCAGUAGUAAUUCAAGAUAGCCUACUGUAGUCAAGUGAUAAAACUAUAACAUCAUUACAUUAGUAAAUCAGAUUUAUACUUGAGUUUAAAGAAAAUCAGUUCAUAUAGCUUAAAUUUCAUGCAAAAUCGUAAUAAAAAAUAAUAGAUAAAUUAAUAAUCUUAAUAAAUACUGAGUUCAUGAGACUUCCUAAAAAUGGAUGUGUCCAAGAUAGAAGGGAUAACUCCAAUCUUAGAAGGCAUUGAGGAUGCUGAUAGUGAGCAAGCAGGUAAAACUCUUAAGGGGGAGACUGAAAUAAGUGAAGGCAAACAACCUGCCCCAGAAGAUGAAAUAAGAAGAAGUGAAAGAUCAAGAAAGCUCACUGAGAAGGGACAAGAACUCGAAGAGACUAAACUCAAAGGUCUCCAACAUCGUUUCUCACGUACCUAUGACAAGUGGAAGAUUCUUGCUAAGAAAUCAAGGAAGGAGAUAGAGGGAGCCUCUUCUCAAGAGAACCUACAAACUCUCAUCAACAAGGUAAAAGAAGCAUCAAAUGAUGUACAGCAGGCGUACGAAGACCUGCGCAAAUGCAUAAUCCCUGAUAAAGAGACACGCCGUCGAACAGACACCUGCGACAAUGUCUCAAGGCAGAUAUUAGAGCAUGCUUGGAAUCAUCUCCAAGACAAAGAUAACGAGCAAGAAAUAAAGUGGUUUGAAACUGGCUCUGUGUUCUCAUUAGAAGUAUCAGAAGCAUGCAGUGCAAGCUCAAGAUCAUCACUCUCAAGUAAAUCCUCAUGUAAAUCUUCAAAAAUAAGUGAAGCUGCAGCAGAAUUAGCAGCAAAUGAAGCCACUUUGGAAGUCCAAGAGCAAGUGGAGCGUGAGGAACGUGAACUCAGAAACCUAGAAGCUGAGUACAGACAAAGGCUUGUGCAACAAGAAAAGGAACGUGCACAAGAAGAAGAGCAAUGUAGACAAAGGCUUGCACAAGAAGAAGAAGAAUGUGCUGCAAAUAAACAGGUCUUGGAAGAAAAGCGCAGAAAGAUAGAACGCUUAGAGACCAUAAAAAAGAUAAAUGCCGCCAAGGCCAAACUAGAAGUGUAUAAACAAGAACAAGGCUCAACCUCAGACUUGCUGGAUCUAUUCAAGGAUUAUAAGCCCAAACGAGAAAGGCUUACAUUCGACUCAAAACCUGCUGUCCCGCCACAACUAAUCACAAGGAUGCAAUCAUCUAUAACUACUCCCAAAGAGGAUAGCACAACUGAUUUCGCCAAGGUACUAGCAGAGUCCUUCAGUGUAAGCCGUCUCCCAGCACCAGAGCCUGCUGUUUUCAGUGGGGAUCCACUAAAGUACAAGGGCUGAAAAAUGUCCUUUCAAACGCUGAUAGGCAGAAAGAAUAUACCAGCGAACGAAAAAAUCUACUACCUACAAAAAUAUGUUGGCGGACCAGCAAGGAAAGCCAUUGAGGGAUACUUCCUUCUAGGAACAGAUGCAGCCUAUCAGACAGCGCUCAGUGUCCUGGAAAAAAGAUUUGGAAGCUCCUUUAUGGUUGCUAAGGCGUUCAGAGAUAAGCUGGCCUCAUGGCCAAAGAUAGGACCCAAGGAAAGCAUUCAGCUACGAGAGUUCUCAGACUUCCUUCGAGGCUGCCAAGCAGCCAUGUCGCAAAUAAAGAGCCUGGAGGUCCUUAACGACUGUGGUGAAAACCAACGAAUGCUCUCCAAGCUUCCCGACUGGCUUACAGCAAGAUGGAACCGAAGGGUGACCAGGAUGGAAAAGGAAAAUGAGACUUUCCCCAGCUUCGAUCAGUUCGUGGAAUUCGUCACAGAGGAAGCCGAUAUCGCUUGUAAUCCGAUUACCUCCCUUCACGCUCUGAAGUCUGGAGAUGGUGGAAUGGAGAAGCCACAAAAAACACAAAGUGUUGGUGCCAAGGUGCUAGCAAGUAGCUCUGAAGAGAAAACAGAUGCUAAAGGAUGUGUAUUCUGUGAGAAGUCAAAUCAUGGCUUACAGACAUGUCGAAAGUUCUUGAAAGAGACAACUGCAGAACGAGUCAAGUUUGUGAAAACAAACAAGCUCUGCUUUGGAUGUUUGAAAUCAGGACAUCAGUCCAAGAACUGUGAGAAGAGAAGCAUUUGUGAGACAUGCAAAAGGAAGCAUCCAACAUGUCUACAUGAAAAUCGUCCAAGGGAAGACAAUAGGAAAGAACAAGAGGAUGGCGAAAGAAAGGAGAGUGGGAGACGCUUUAAGAAAAAGGAGCGCACAAAGGAGAAGGAAGACUUAUCAGAGUCUGAAGAGAAAGAAGAGACACCAGUAGAGGCAACAGCUAACAGAGUGGUGCAAGACAAGAGGAGCACCUAUUCCUCCACAGUUGUUCCUGUAUGGCUGUCCACAGCAAGUAAUCCAGAGCAGGAAGUGCUCGUAUACGCUCUAUUGGACAACCAAAGCGACACCACCUUCAUCCUGCAAGAAACGGCAAAAGUGUUAGUUACAAAGAAACAGGCUGUGCAAUUAAAGCUCUCCACGAUGUCAUCCAAAGAUACCGUCAUCCAGAGUCAGAAGUUAACUGGACUGCAGGUCAGAGGUUAUAAUGAGACAAGGAAAAUAUCUCUCCCAGUAACCUACACAAGAGAGUUUAUUCCUGCAAACCUAAGUCAUGUCCCCAUACCUGAGACAGCAAGAUCAUGGCCUCACCUAGAGCACCUUGCCGGAGAGAUCACUCCUUUAUGUGACUGUGAGAUUGGCCUGCUCAUAGGCUACAACUGUUCUCAGGCCCUGUUGCCCAGAGAAGUGGUGUCAGGAAAAGAUAAUGAGUCUUUCGCUCAACGAACAGACUUGGGCCGGAGUAUAGUUGGCUGUGCAGAUCCCUGGUUCGAAUCUGGGUCAUGGCAUAAUCAAAUUACUUUGAAGAAUUUCUCCCUUGCUCACUAUUGCUAAACUGACAUCUUUUGGACAAUGACGAUUUUCCACACAAGUCUACGGUCAAUAGCCGUAACUUGUAGGGCGAGUGGCGCAAAGAAUAAAGCAUCAUGGCAUAUUCAAAUAAUGUCACCUAUUUUUUAUUUUCAUUUUUGCAAAAGUGUUACAAGCUUACAAGCCACAUAUUCCCGUGGGGCUCGUGGAGCAAUGGGUAACGCAUCUGUCUACAGAUCAGAAGAUUCCAGGACUCCUGGCCAGCUUACAUGCCAUUUUGUGGUCAACAUUAGCUAUGUGUAGUUUAUGUGAACUUUUGGGUUGAAGUAACUCACAGACACUGUCAACAAAUAGUCUUUCCAAUUUUGUCUCAGCUCAAGUAUUAGGGAUCAUCAGAUCUGCGUAGUUAUUGGAUAGUUCCACCAACAUUUUAAUAUCAACAUCUGCCUGGGUGUCGUGGCUGAAGAUCCUAGAAAAAAGACCCUAAACAUGCAACUGCAUAUUGGCCAUAAUAUAGCAUCGAGGCGGCUGCAAUCCCAGUUUGAAUCUACAUACACACAAGCUUACAGAAAAUGACAACUUCCCGUGGGGCUAGUGGCUCGUUCCUUGCUCUGAACGGAGAGCCAAAACGAUUCCUAACACUUACUAAUGAAGUCCUAACCAAUUCCUGUGUGUGUAUGGGGGGCGGGGGGGGCAAAGGAACCAAUCAGAUGGCCCGAAUCCAUGCAUGGCCGAUGACGGCAGUGAUCAACACAGUGCUAUUUGAGAAGUGAAAUGCAGUUUAUAGGAUUUGCAGACAGUGUGCAAUCUUUAUUUAAACAAAAGUAGGCAGGUGCAUACAUUUGGAAACCCCAUCAGAAAAAUGACAUCAAUAUUUAGUAGUUCCUCCUUUUGCAGAAAUAACAGCCUCUAAACCAGUGGUUCUUAACCUGGAUUCGGUCAAACUCUAUGAGUUCGGUGAGUCGGUCUCAGGGGUUCAGCAGAGCCUCCACUGUGGAGGUCCGAACACACCUGUUUUAUAAAUUCGUGAUAACGCCUAUCUGAACUGGUCUCGCAAAGGCAACAGCAGAAGUCCUCCUGAUUUGCUGGUAUGUCAUUUGUCAUGAAUUCAUGCAUUGUGUUGGUUUUAUUCUUUCAACAAGGUGGUGUUCAUGCACUUCUGCAUGAGUUCCGCUCUAUUCUUCUGGCCCAACUCUUUCGGCGCAGCCGUUAGGUAGAUAUGAUGACCAUGGAAAGUUCUUUGUGAAUUAUCAAUCUUUGCCUUUCAUGUUCAUCGGGACUACACUUUUAAUAGGUACCUACACUGUGUAUUUGGAUAGAGACUGCUGAAAGUAUACACAUAUAUGCUUCGUGAACUACAUGCAUUACUGCGGGUGAAGAAGCGUGAACAAAUAAGUCAGCAGACAAGUUUGCCGAUUUAUUAGUGCCCAGAAGAGAAGCACUUCACAGUUUAACUAUUUAAUGUCUGCCAGAAUAAUCGAUGUACAGCUGUGGACCCCUUUCGGCGAGAUGCAAAAGAAGGUCCCUCUCCCAGCGCCAAGGUUCUUUAUACUACUCUGGGCCGCCUUCCUGCAAGGAGGCGACUCUGCCUAGCCUAGCGGUGGCCAACCCGCGGCUCGCGAGCCGCAUGCGACUCUUUGGCUGGUUUCAUGCGGCUCUUUUACGUUCAUAUCAACAUUUGUGUUUAUUUUUCGUGCGUAUUUGCUUCGCUUGAGUUCAAUAUGGUAUUUUGGUCAAACGCGCAUGCGCGUGAGGUGAAAUCCCGCAAAGGAGGAGGGACAAACAGAGCGAUUGGUUUUGCUGGCUUUUUAAUGAAUGGCGACUGUGACUACGGGGGCCCAUUAGGUCCAGAAAAGCUGACACGACGCUUGCCAAAAUGGCAAAGAAAAAAUGCACAGCUAAACGAAUAUAUGACGAUGAACACAGGAUGUUUUUAACAGAGUUAAAGUUGUUUUUUGUUGAACGCUAUGGCAAGCCAUUCUGCCUGAUAUGUCGGACGUCAUUGGCGCAUUUAAAAGCUUCAAAUGGUCAGCGCCACUUCAGCUCACUUCAUGCCAAUAUCGAUAAGGACUUUGCAAAAGGGACUGAUAUUUCGCAAGCACAAGUUUGGAGACUUUGAAAAGUCAGGCAGAAAAAUAGGUACAGUUUUUCAAAAAAAUUACGAAGCACUCAGAGACUGUCACACUUGCAUUGUUUCAACUGACUUGGAAUAUUGCACGGGCUAAAAAGCCAUACAAUGAAGUGGAGUUCGUUAAAAUAUGCCUCAGUGACGUUAUUGAAAUCUUGUCUCCUGAAAAUGACAAACUAAAACGAAUGGUCUGUCCCGCCACACAUAGUAAGUGGAAAAACGUAUGUUUUUGUUUGUGGAAUUUGUUGAACUGAGUUUGUCUGUGUGAGACAAUGCAGACAAUGUUCAUUGUUGAAAAUGUGGUCUUUGGUCUGUGGUUUUAGUACUGUAGGAGUCAAUUUGUCAUUAUCAUGUUGGUGCGUGACAUAAUAAUGUCACACAAUAAAUUUGGCUGAGCAGAGGGGUGUGUGUGUGUGUGUGCGUGUGUGUGUGGGUGUGCGUGUUUGUGUGUGUGUGUGUGGGGAGGGGGUGUUCAUGUGUGCUCAGUUGUAUGAUGUGGCUCUUUGCGAUGACACAGUAAAAAAUGUGGCUCUUAGUCUCUGACUGGUUGGCCACCCCUGGCCUAGCUGGUGUGAUAACGUGUGACCUUGUAGUCUUAACUGAGAGCGACUUCUACAUAUGUGCAAAGGGUGUCAUAGAGAAGAGAAAGCUAAUAAAGCAAGACUCGAGUCCUAUUCUAACAAACCGUUGGUGAGAAUGGGUAGACAGGGAAGCCUGUAAUGCAGUGCUUCUCAAUUAUUUUCUGUUACGCCCCCCCCUAGCAAGAAGGAAACUUUUCGCGCCCCCCCCUCCCCACCGUGACUAUCCUAACUUGUCUUGUAAAUCGUAAAAUGUUGCACUGUCGCAAACGUCACAGAAGUAACAAUGAGAGCGCCACUGCCCCCUGCUGGGAAGAUGCGCGAGUACACUUUAUUCUAGUACUGCAAAAAAAAAAGCCUGUUCCCCAGGGUCACACGCGCCCCCCCAGGUAUAGCACGGCGCCCCCCAAGGGGGGCGCGCCCCACUAUUUGAGAAGCACUGCUGUAAUGUCAUGACUCGUCCCCGGUCACGUCCAUGUUGUCAUAGUUUUGUCCGUGUGUCUGUGUGCUCACCCCUCCCCUCCUGUGUGCCCAUGAUCAGUGUGAUCAUUCUCACCUGCCUCUUGUUACCUGUCUUGUAUAUUAAGUCCUGUCUGUGUAUCACUCCCUGUCGGAGCAUUGAUGUGUUUGUUACUGUCAUGAGGUUUUUUUGGUUCCUGUCUUGGUAAUGUCACCCUGUCUUUUUGUCUCACGUCUCUGUUGUUGGUUUUGUUAGUAAGUCUUGUCAGUUUGCAGAGUCUUUUGAGUUUGCUUCAAUAAACCGUGGUCCAAGCUGCACUUGGUCCCCCUGCUCCAUUUCCACACUCCGUUCGUGACAUGCACUUCUAGAGUUGGACCGAGCCAUUUUUUACUUCAUCUGGAAAUCCAAGUUGGAGAGACUGAAGAGGGACACCAUGAAGAAAAACAAAAAAAAGGAGCGGGAAGCGGUGUGUCCAGUGCGCGGGCUUGCAUUCGGCGAGCCCACAACAGUUUGGCGCAACGUCAACCACCCCGCCCUCUCGAAACAAACUUCGGGACCUGUCAUGGAUGGUGGCCCAUGAUGUCCUCCCAGUCAGGUCCGUUAUGCACUCUCGGGGCAUGUCAGCGCUCUCAGCGUGCCCCUGACCUGGCUGUGGUGCCCAGGAGUCAGUGUGGGACCUGCUCUGGUAGUGCAGGGCUGCCGUAGACCUGUGGGCGACCUGCAAUUCCCCGCAAGGUAAGCGCAGAUUGCAGACCUUGUACUCUAUGCGUUGACCCCGUUGAAAAUCAAGCAAGAAGACUUUACAAAGCAGUCGUUGCCAUCAAAGACGCCAUGUGGACUUCCAGAAACUUGCUGGUAAGGAAGCACAGACAGAUACCCCCCCCCCCCACGCCCCCCCCACCCAGGCCUGGCUGGCUGCAGCAACUCUCAAAGCUGCACACGGCAAGCCUAGGAGACAUCGACCUGGUAUUGCAGUACCUCCAGGAACAGUGCACCCCCUCUACUGGUCAAAUCAAUAGUUCAUAUGUUAGAAAACCAUUUCAAUCCGUUCGCUUCAUUCUUACAGGAUUAAGCAGUCAAUUAUGACUUGAUGGGGUCAGAUCUCAAUGUAAGAUGUUAGGAUUUGAGGCUUCCCCACCAAACGGUUUGCAAAUAGAUUCAUUUCUCGAGGCUUCAUGUGCACACAACACCCCCCCCCCCCUGCUGGUCAAAAGGAGCAAUUUAUUCCAUUAAUGAGAAUUACAUUCACCUUUAUAUUUUGCUUCAUGUAGCCUGAUCAAAAUGAAUAAAAGUUCUCUGUAUGUGCAUUCACGUGUAACAUUGAAGGAGGUGGACGUGUGUUUCAAUAUGUAAAUAAAUACCAUCGUUGUCUAUUAAGAAGUUAAAAGUUGAUGAAACACAUUUCUUUUUUUGUAGGGAUGCUGUGUUUUAACAAGGAAAGACUGAUAUGCUUAUGGAUGAAGAUGACUUGUACUUGUGAUUGUGCUUGUAAACAGUAAAGAGCGUGUGCAAUUGAGGGGGGUGGUUAUUGGUUUUAUUCAAAAACAAUAUUUGUCUGGGGCUUCAUGCCCCUGGUUGGGUCACCCAUAGCAAACAAGCCACAUCCGGCCCACGGGACCGUUUAAUCCGGCCCGCCAACCCUGAAUAAAUUGUAUCAUUAAACAUUUUUUUUGGUCAUUUUGCCUGCAAUGACUGCGUUUCCCCAGUAGAUGGGGAACCGCUCGCCUGCGCAUUUACUACCGGAAGCCGUGUCAGAAAGCCCAGUGCACACUCACAAGUGCGUGUACGUACUCAGUAGUACGGACAUGACGCACCCGCGCUCUAUUUGUAUCAGUCCCGAAUUUAGAGCGUGGGCUGUAAUGACAACAUUCUUGUAAUUUGCGCACUGAACUUUCAGAUACAGUUUUACGCUAAAGCCACCUACAAACCUUCCCCUGGAAUCCUUCUAUUAAAAUGAGUCGCCCAAGGAAAAGCAAGGUGGAGACAGUGCCGAGUGUUUAGAAAAGUGUUGCUAAUUUGGCUCGACGUCCGCGACGUGACGUUCAGCCACAUGAACAUUAAUAUCAACCCGUCACAGAUUGAGGUUAACGGACCAACACGUCAGAUCUCUCCUAAGAAUUGCCACAACAAAUUUUACUCCAGACUAUGACGCACUAGCAAAAAAGGGAGACCAACAACACUGUUCCCACCAAAAAUGAAGGGGAGGCUCUCAAGUUUGUUGUUAAAAAAUGCAUUUUGAAUAUGAUUUGUACCCUUAGCAGGGAUUGAAACUAACGACCAUUCUCAUUUUCAAACAAUGCAGGAUGCUCAAGGACAUUGAUGCACCACCUGUUUGCGACUAAUCUUAACCUGUAAAGUUCUUAAGGCUUACUUUAAGGAAGUGUUUCCCGUUUCCUCAACUCUGUUACCAGGUGUUUGUGAGUUAAAACUCUGCUCUGACUUUCAGAUGCCCCUCACCGUGUUGCCAUUUUGAUUACUUUAUUUGGAUGUAUGUUUUCACCGAUUCUUGAAGAUGAUAUAUUUGGUCAGAAUGUUUGAUGUGAUCUCAUAAGAUAAACAUCUUUCAUUAAUCUGACCUGCAGGCACUGAAGUGAUGGAGACUGUUAUUCAUAAUAACAGUGUCAUAUUUUAUGAGAAUCACUGAUAGCAGUUUUUUAGUGAGUUAUUAUUUUUUUUAAUGCUGUUAAUAAAUGCAUUUGUUUUCAAAAAACUUGUUUGGAAUAUCCAUGCUUUACUACCUACUAAAGGCCAAAAUCCUUUAUGAAAUGACCUUUACAGGUUGCUUAUAUUACUUCACACAAACACUACGUCCAUCUGCUCCUGGUUCGGCCCUCCGGUCCAAAUUUAGAACCCAGUUCGGCCCGCGAGUCAAAAAGUUUGCCCACCCCUGGGCUAGACAAAGCCCGGCUCUCACAAGCCCCUUAUGAAGAAAAACACAAUUGGAUUUUGUUUUUCCUCACCCGGACGCGGGUUACCGGGCCCCCCCUCUGGAGCCAGGCCUGGAGGUGGGGCUCGAAGGCGAGUGUCUGGUGGCCGGGCCUUCGCCCAUGGGGCCCGGCCGGCCACAGCCCGAAAAGGAAACAUGGGUCCCCCUUCCCAUGGGCUCACCACCUGUGGGAGGGACCAAAGGGGUCGGGUGCAGUGUAAGCUGGGCGGCGGCCAAGGGAAGAGACCUUGGCGGACCGAUCCCUGGCUCCAGAAGCUGGCUCUUGGGACAUGGAAUGUCACCUCUCUGGCUGUAAAGGAGCCCGAGCUGGUGUGCGAGGCAGAAAGGUUCCGACAAGACAUGGUCGGACUUGCCUCCACACCCAUUUGGGUUCCGGUACAAGCUGGCCCUGGACUCUCUUCCACUCUGGAGUUGCUCACGGUGAGAGCAGGUUUGGGUAUACUUAUUGCCCUCCGGCUGGGCGCCUGAACAUUGGAGUUCACCUCGGUCAAUGAGAGACAACCCUAACCUUAACCCUCCGCCUUCGGGUGGGGGGAUGGGUCUUGACUGUUGUUUGUGUCUAUGCACCAAACGGCAGCUCAGAGUACCCACCCUUUUUGAUGUCCUUGGAAGAAGUGCUGGAGAGCGCUCCGUCUGGGGACUCUAUCGUUUUACUGGGUGACUUCAAUGCUCACGUGGGUAAUGACAGUGAGACCUGGAAGAGCGUGAUUGGGAGGAACGCCCCCCCCCCCCGAU